UAUCAUCCUGAACACUCCCGCUGUCAUUGGAUAUCGGAAGCUGAGGAGGGUAAGGUCUGAUUAGUAGUGAGAUGGGAGACCACCAAGGAAUGCCAGAG
rnacentral:rRNA from 1 species